AGUGGCCUACGGGACGCAGCAGUGAGGAAUAUUGGUCAAUGGGAGAGAUCCUGAACCAGCCAAGCCGCGUGAGGGAAGACGGCCCUAUGGAUUGUAAACCUCUUUAGGCGGGGAGCAAUGCCGGGCACGCGUGCCCGGAGGGAGAGUACCCGCAGAAUAAGCAUCGGCUAACUCCGUGCCAGCAGCCGCGGUAAUACGGAGGAUGCGAGCGUUAUCCGGAUUUAUUGGGUUUAAAGGGGGCGUAGGCGGAUUUUUAAGUCAGCGGUAAAAUGUCCGGGCUCAACCCGGGCCGGCCGUUGAAACUG
rnacentral:rRNA from 1 species